rnacentral:tRNA from 1 species
GGUUCCGUAGUGUAGUGCGGUUAUCACGUUCGCUUCACAUCAGCGAAAGGUCUCCGGUUCGAUCCUGACGGAACCA